rnacentral:rRNA from 1 species
AUACGGAGGGUGCAAGCGUUGUUCGGAAUCAUUGGGCGUAAAGAGCACGUAGGCGGCUUGGUAAGUCGGGUGUGAAAUCCCGGGGCCCAACCCCGGAACUGCACUCGAAACUGUCUCGCUAGAGUUCCGGAGAGGAAGGCGGAAUUCCGGGUGUAGAGGUGAAAUUCGUAGAUAUCCGGAGGAACACCAGUGGCGAAGGCGGCCUUCUGGACGGUGACUGACGCUGAGACGCGAAAGCGUGGGGAGCAAACAGGAUUAGAAACCCCGGUAGUCC